UGAAAGGAUGAAGGCAAGUUGAAUCAAGAUUCUACCAAGAGAAGCCUAGCUAUCUCAUCAGUUGUGAUCUGAUCAUCUAGGUGUACAUGGAAACGCUGAAUCUGGCCAUGGAUUACAGAACGUGAUGUUAACCAGCAUUGCUUGCGGCCAGUAACCAUGGAUAACUUCAUUCUCACGUUGUUCUACGAUUUCAAGUUCUCAAGAAGGAAAAUCGGCUUUUAAAGCUAUCCACAGUGAAUCAGAUCACUUAAAUGACAAAAACAAAGAUGACUGAUGGCGGGGAUGAAACAAACACCACCAACAGCUCGCAGUCGACUACCACUGCCGCAAUGUCGCUGCUUCGGAUGUCCCGCAGCUCCCGUAGCUCCAGUUCGCCAGAGCUACACUGCACCUCUGCGACCCUGCCCAACUCCACCCAACAGGUGUUGACGUCGCAUUCGGCGGACGAACUCCACACAGAGGUGCACUUGCCUCGAAGCGAACCUGUGAGGAAGACUUUUGUGAACAGGCAAAAGUACAAUAUUCAGUGUUGCACCUUGCCGGUGUGUUUGAUUACGCUGCAGGUCUUACUUGGAGUAACUGUGAUUGUUUUUGGAGUAACCAUGCUGCACAUGACCCCAUCGUUGAAGACUAGAGAUGCACCUUAUUGGGCUGGCAUAGUGGUGAGUGACCUUUGAACUUUGAUCCUUUAUUGAUUCUGUAAUGCUGUCCUAAUUCAUCUUUGUACUAUUAACCAAGAUGAAUAUUGAAUAAAUGUUUUCAUCAGGUGCUCCGUGUAUCUUAUAAGUACUCUGAAGGUGUGGAUGUUUGUGGAUGUUCUCUCCAAGUAAUUAAAGUAUAUGAGACUUUCUGUAUGUAUAUUUUUUAAACUUUUGUGCAGUCAUUAUAUGUUAGGUGACUAGAAUAUUUGCACAUUGGUUUGCAUUGACCUUUUUUCUUUUUUUGAAUAAAAUUUAUUGUUGUCUGUAUAUAUUCAACUUAUUAUGGAUAUAUCAGUGAAUAAUAAAUGUAUUGGGGUUAUUCGUGCGAUGAACAGAAGAGCAAUAAUGUGUUCAAACAAGGAAUUCAUGAUGUAGCAGAAAAAUCAAGAAUAGAACCUAAUA